UACGUAGGGUGCAGGCGUUAAUCGGAAUUACUGGGCGUAAAGCGUGCGCAGGCGGUUUGCUAAGACAGGUGUGAAAUCCCCGGGCUUAACCUGGGAACUGCGCUUGUAACUGGCAAGCUAGAGUGUGGCAGAGGGGGGUGGAAUUCCACGUGUAGCAGUGAAAUGCGUAGAGAUGUGGAGGAACACCGAUGGCGAAGGCAGCCCCCUGGGCUAACACUGACGCUCAUGCACGAAAGCGUGGGGAGCAAACA
rnacentral:rRNA from 1 species